CCUACGGGAGGCUGCAGUGAGGAAUAUUGGUCAAUGGACGAGAGUCUGAACCAGCCAAGUAGCGUGAAUGAUGACUGCCCUAUGGGUUGUAAACUUCUUUUAUAUGGGAAUAAAAUGUUCCACGUGUGGGAUUUUGUAUGUACCAUAUGAAUAAGGAUCGGCUAACUCCGUGCCAGCAGCCGCGGUAAUACGGAGGAUCCGAGCGUUAUCCGGAUUUAUUGGGUUUAAGGGGAGCGUAGGUGGAUUGUUAAGUGAGUUGUGAAAGUUUGCGGCUCAACCGUAAAAUUGCAGUUGAAACUGGCAGUCUUGAGUACAGUAGAGGUGGGCGGAAUUCGUGGUGUAGCGGUGAAAUGCUUAGAUAUCACGAAGAACUCCGAUUGCGAAGGCAGUUCACUGGACUGCAACUGACACUGAGGCUCGAAAGUGUGGGUAUCAAACAGGAUUAGAUACCCUUGUAGUC
rnacentral:rRNA from 1 species